rnacentral:ncRNA from 1 species
CGACCUCAGAUCAGGCGGGACUACCCGCCGGAUUUAAGCAUAUUAAUAAGCGGAGGAAAAGAAAACAACCGUGAUUCCUUUAGUAGCGGCGAGCGAACCGGGAAAAGCCCAUCGCCGAAUCUCGCCGCGCACUUUUGUGUCGCGGCACGUAUGAGAGUUGUGGCGUACGGGCCGGCCUCGUUGCCGGGGCGCACGUGACGGUCCAAGUCUCCCUUGAACGGGGCCAUGGCCCGCAGAUGGUGCCAGGCCAGUAGAGGCCGUCACAGCGUUCCGGGAUCGGACCGCGCCUUCGAGUCGGGUUGCUUGAGAGUGCAGCCCGAAGCGGGUGGUAAACUCCAUCUAAGGCUAAAUACGGCCACGAGACCGAUAGUUUACAAGUACCGUGAGGGAAAGUUGAAAAGAACUUUGAAGAGAGAGUUCAUAAGAACGUGAAACCGCUCGGUUGUAAACGGACAGAGCUCGCGAAUCCCCGCCGGGCGAAUUCACGGUCGGUCUAACCGCCGGCCGGAUCUUUCGCUCGGUUAGCGGACGUCGCGACCCGUUGGGCGCCGGCCGAAUGGCCCGGGUGACGUUCGUCGCGUCGGUCGCGUUUCGGCGUGACCGUUUCGCGCCGAGCCCCGGUGCUCAUGGUCGGCUCGCCCGACGGCAAGAACCGUCGACGCGGCCCCGUCGCAGGCGGGGUCCCGUCGGUCGGCGACGUGUUUCGAGCUACUUUCCGACCCGUCUUGAAACACGGACCAAGGAGUCUAACGUGUGCGCGAGUCAACGGUGAUCUUACGAAAAACCACGUUUGGCGCAAUGAAAGUGAACCGUUUACGGUGCGGACGAUGGCCUAGCGACCGAACCCACCGGCGUUCAAAGUCGCGCUGGUCCGCAGUCCGGGGGCGUCUCCGCCAAGUCGGCUUCGGCCGGCUGGGGGCGCACCCUUAGCGCACACGUUGGUACCCGAAAGAUGGUGAACUAUGCCUGGCCAGGAUGAAGUCAGGGGAAACCCUGAUGGAGGUCCGCAGCGAUUCUGACGUGCAAAUCGAUCGUCUGAGCUGGGUAUAGGGGCGAAAGACUAAUCGAACCAUCUAGUAGCUGGUUCCAUCCGAAGUUUCCCUCAGGAUAGCUGGCGCCGAUGUGUCCCGCCCGUUCGCGGGCGUACGGACGCCGGUGGGACUCCGCGCUGUACGGCGCGGUAACAACACGCUCGUAACACGGAGGAUGUCUCAUACGGUAAAGCGAAUGAUUAGAGGACAUUGGGGCCGAAACGACCUCAACCUAUUCUCAAACUAUAAAUGAGUGAGAUCGCCGGCUUUACCUGGUACACCGCGUGAACCGCGUGCGAAGCCGGCGACGGAACCCU